rnacentral:rRNA from 1 species
ACUAGUGAUUCUUACUGUAGGCAGCAGUGAGGGAUAUUGCGCAAUGGGGGAAACCCUGACGCAGCGACGCCGCGUGGGUGAUGAAGGUCUUCGGAUUGUAAAACCCUUUUGCCAUUGACGAGAACGGACGGUAGAUGGCGAAUAAGCCUCGGCUAACUACGUGCCAGCAGCCGCGGUAAAACGUAGGAGGCGAGCGUUAUCCGGAGUUACUGGGCGUAAAGCGUGCGUAGGCGGUUUUGUAAGUGGGACGUGAAAGCACCGUGCUAAACGCGGUGAGGACGACUCAGACUGCGAGACUAGAGCGGCUCAGAGGCGCGUGGAAUUCGGGGUGUAGCGGUGAAACUGUGUAGAGAUCCCGAGGAACCACCAGUGGGGCAACCGGCGCGCUGGGAGCAGGCUGACGCUGAGGCACGAAAGCGUGGGGAGCAAACGGGACUUAGAGACCCCGGUAGUCCCACGCCGUAAACGCAUGUCACACUAGGUGUCUGCGAAGGGAAACUGGAGUGGGUGCCAAAGCCACACGCGGUAAGUUGACCGCCUGGGGAGUACGGUCGUCAAGGCUAACACUCAAAGGCAAUUGACGGCAUCCCGC